CGAGGGGCGGCGUGCUAUAAUGCAGUCGUGCGGACCUUUUAAAAGCUUGCUUUUAAAAGGUUAGCGGCGGACGGGUGAGUAACACGUGGGCAACCUGCCUGUAAGAUCGGGAUAACGCCGGGAAACCGGGGCUAAUACCGGAUAGUUUUUUCCUCCGCAUGGAGGAAAAAGGAAAGACGGCUUCUGCUGUCACUUACAGAUGGGCCCGCGGCGCAUUAGCUUGUUGGUGGGGUAACGGCUCACCAAGGCAACGAUGCGUAGCCGACCUGAGAGGGUGAUCGGGCCACCAUUGGGACUGAGGACACGGCCCAAACUCCUACGGGAGGCAGCAGUAGGGAAUCUUCCGCAAUGGACGAAAGUCUGACGGAGCAACGCCGCGUGAGUGAAGAAGGCCUUCGGGUCGUAAAACUCUGUUGCCGGGGAAGAACAAGUGCCGUUCGAACAGGGCGGCGCCUUGACGGUACCCGGCCAGAAAGCCACGGCUAACUACGUGCCAGCAGCCGCGGUAAUACGUAGGUGGCAAGCGUUGUCCGGAAUUAUUGGGCGUAAAGCGCGCGCAGGCGGCUUCUUAAGUCUGAUGUGAAAUCUUGCGGCUCAACCGCAAGCGGUCAUUGGAAACUGGGAGGCUUGAGUGCAGAAGAGGAGAGUGGAAUUCCACGUGUAGCGGUGAAAUGCGUAGAGAUGUGGAGGAACACCAGUGGCGAAGGCGGCUCUCUGGUCUGUAACUGACGCUGAGGCGCGAAAGCGUGGGGAGCAAACAGGAUUAGAUACCCUGGUAGUCCACGCCGUAAACGAUGAGUGCUAAGUGUUAGAGGGUUUCCGCCCUUUAGUGCUGCAGCUAACGCAUUAAGCACUCCGCCUGGGGAGUACGGCCGCAAGGCUGAAACUCAAAGGAAUUGACGGGGGCCCGCACAAGCGGUGGAGCAUGUGGUUUAAUUCGAAGCAACGCGAAGAACCUUACCAGGUCUUGACAUCCUCUGAUCUCCCUGGGAGACAGGGCCUUCUCCUUCGGGGGACAGAGUGACAGGUGGUGCAUGGGUUGUCGUCAGCUCGUGUCGUGGAGAUGUUGGGGUUAAGUCCCGCAACGAGCGCAACCCUUGGACUUAGUGGCCAGCCAUGGAGUUGGGCAACUCUAGGGUGACUGCCGGGUGACAACCGGGAGGAAGGUGGGGGAUGACGUCUAAUCAUCAUGCCCCUUAUGACCUGGGCCAACACACGGUGCCUACAAUGGAAUGGU
rnacentral:rRNA from 2 species